AUUCGUUGUCUUGGUUUCUGGGUUUUCUUCUUCUUCUUCUGC
rnacentral:sRNA from 1 species